AAUCGCAAGGCUUGAUUAAUUGAA
rnacentral:siRNA from 1 species